rnacentral:rRNA from 1 species
UACGUAGGGGGCUAGCGUUGUCCGGAAUCACUGGGCGUAAAGGGUGCGUAGGCGGGUCUUUUAAGUCAGGGGUGAAAUCCUGGAGCUCAACUCCAGAACUGCCUUUGAUACUGAAGAUCUUGAGUUCGGGAGAGGUGAGUGGAACUGCGAGUGUAGAGGUGAAAUUCGUAGAUAUUCGCAAGAACACCAGUGGCGAAGGCGGCUCACUGGCCCGAUACUGACGCUGAGGCACGAAAGCGUGGGGAGCAAACAGG